CAUUCAUCUAUGAACUCAUCAGUGGAUUAAUACAGUGAUGAAUAUACUGUCUUCAUGAUUCUAUCACUCCAAAAGCCCCACUUCUGAAAGCUCUGAAGGCACCCACAGAACACCCCUCUAUGAAGUGCCUAUCAAGGGAGAAGAAAAUUACAUUCCUCAAUAAAUGUCCUUUUUCACUAGAAAAAUGUUUUUUCAUCAUAAGGAUUUGCAACUAUUUCAUCACUGCCAGCAGAUGGAGACCCUUGAGUGUUUCCAUAUAUGGACUGUGGGUGUGUGUGUGCGCGUGCGCGCGCGCACGUGUUGUAAGUAACAAUAUACAAUGAAAAGGAGAAAGUGCUAAGGACUCCCAACUCCAUAAUCUGUCACAUGGACUGACAUUCGUAGGUGAGAUUUCCAAAGACAGAAUUUUUACAUCACUGAGGCUGGGGGAAAGGACAGUGAGGAUGUCCAGGUGGUGAACUUCUCUCUCGAUAGGGGGAAAGAGCCAUUUUCUCCCUUCUCUCCUAGGCUUUACUUAGAAUCCAGUAGAUCUUUUAUCACCUCCCCUAAUACCAUUUCUCUCUCUCUUUUUUUUUUUUUUUUUUU